rnacentral:rRNA from 1 species
UACAGAGGGGGCAAGCGUUGUUCGGAAUUACUGGGCGUAAAGGGCGCGUAGGCGGCCUGUUAAGUCGAACGUGAAAUCCCCGGGCUCAACCCGGGAACUGCGUCCGAUACUGGCAGGCUUGAAUUCGGGAGAGGGAUGCGGAAUUCCAGGUGUAGCGGUGAAAUGCGUAGAUAUCUGGAGGAACACCGGUGGCGAAGGCAGCUCUCGUGGGACGGUACUGACGGCUGAGACGCGAAAAGCGUGG